rnacentral:rRNA from 1 species
AACGAACGCUGGUGGCAUGCCUAACACAUGCAAGUCGAACGAGACCCCAACUUCGGUUGGACGUCUAGUGGCGCACGGGUGCGUAACGCGUGGGAAUCUGCCCUUAGGUUCGGAAUAACUCGGAGAAAUCCGAGCUAAUACCGGAUAAUGACGUAAGUCCAAAGAUUUAUCGCCUAAGGAUGAGCCCGCGUAGGAUUAGCUUGUUGGUGAGGUAAAAGCUCACCAAGGCGACGAUCCUUAGCUGGUCUGAGAGGAUGAUCAGCCACACUGGGACUGAGACACGGCCCAGACUCCUACGGGAGGCAGCAGUGGGGAAUAUUGGACAAUGGGCGAAAGCCUGAUCCAGCAAUGCCGCGUGAGUGAUGAAGGCCUUAGGGUUGUAAAGCUCUUUUACCCGGGAUGAUAGUGAC